rnacentral:rRNA from 1 species
UACAGAGGGGGCAAGCGUUGUUCGGAAUUACUGGGCGUAAAGGGCGCGUAGGCGGCCUUCUAAGUCAGACGUGAAAUCCCUCGGCUCAACCGGGGAACUGCGUCUGAGACUGGAAGGCUUGAAUUCGGGAGAGGGAUGUGGAAUUCCAGGUGUAGCGGUGAAAUGCGUAGAUAUCUGGAGGAACACCGGUGGCGAAGGCGGCAUCCUGGACCGACACUGACGCUGAGGCGCGAAAGCUAGGGGAGCAAACGGG